rnacentral:tRNA from 1 species
UUCUCGAUAGCUCAGUUGGAAGAGCGGAGACUGUAGGUCACAUAUGUUGACAUCCUUAGGUCGCUGGUUCAACUCGCUCGGGGAG